rnacentral:rRNA from 1 species
UACGUAGGGUGCAAGCGUUAAUCGGAAUUACUGGGCGUAAAGCGUGCGCAGGCGGUCUUGCAAGACAGAUGUGAAAUCCCCGGGCUUAACCUGGGAACUGCAUUUGUGACUGCAAGGCUAGAGUACGGCAGAGGGGGAUGGGAAUUCCGCGUGUAGCAGUGAAAUGCGUAGAUAUGCGGAGGAACACCGAUGGCGAAGGCAAUCCCCUGGGCCUGUACUGACGCUCAUGCACGAAAGCGUGGGGAGCAAACAGG